GCUGCGUUGUCUGCUGCGUCGAUAGACUUCUUUCUCUAUCUGGCAGUAUCACAUGCCUCUUCUCCCCACUGUCUUCUCUCUCUCUUUCUUUUGGGCAAUGUUGCUCUGCUGCUUAUCCGGCUGUUCUGAGCCUUGGUACGAGAGCCUGUUGAGCUAACCAGUUAUCUUCUAACCACGCAGGUAUCAGCGAGCCUCGGUCUCUCGCAUUCUCUGGGUUGCGGUGUUCCAGGCAUUUGGCUCUCCUCCUCUUCCUCCGUUACGCGCAAGGACCAUCGAACCUCUGUCCCUCGCGUUCACUGGGUCUCAGUCGUCCAGAUCAGCUGCGGGGCGUUCGGUUUUCCUCCUCCUCCUCCGUUGUUCGAUCUUGCCACCUGUUUGGAUCACCUCCUCCUCCGCCGUUUGGAUCGUGCUUCGUUGUGCCUCUCUCUGCAGUUUUUAGUCUAGAGUUGCUAUUUUUCCUCGAAUCAAAGGCGUCUGUUCUCCGUCACAAGCUCACCGAGAAGGACGCCAUCAUUGCCGACCUUCAGUCCCUCGAUGCCUCCCUUUCCGACGCUUCCGACAAACUCACCCUCGCUACCCAAGAAAAGGUCAUAAAUUUUGAGAUGCCUCAAAGUGCUGCGGGAUAUGUACAUCGAAUUGGCCGUACUGGAAGAGCGUAUAACACUGGUGCAUCUGUCUCUCUGGUGUCCCCUGAGGAGAAUGACAUGUUUGAAGAUAUUAAAUCCUUCAUCGGUGAAAGUGAUAACGUGGACUCCAAUUUUAUAGCUCCAUUUCCAUUGCUCACUAAGAAUGCUGUGGAGGGCUUGAGAUAUAGAGCUGAGGUAAAUAUUGCCUUCCUUUAUUGCAUAGUAAGUUGUAACUUUUUGAACUUAUUAUGCGUUAAGCAUCUCUUUAUGCUUACUUUGCUUCUGUGGUUCUUAAAAAAACCCUAUGGCGUCUGCCUCGAGAUAUUGAAGCUGUUUUGUGCUGUGUUGCUGUUUUGCUCUGUGCUUUUUAGCCUAGAGUUGCUAUGUUGCUAUUUAUACGUACUGCUUCAGUUAGAGCUUUGCUUCUUCGGAUCGGUGUGAGGUUAUGUAUUAUUUUUUUGUUUUGACUCUAAAAAUUAUAUAUUAAUUGCCUUUUGUAGUUAAGCCACCGCACCUAAUUGCCUUAUCUGUUGCCAGCAUAAAUUUUUUUUUUAAACCGAAUUUGGAUGCUUACUGUUGCAUUAUCAACUUUUCAAUUCUGUUACACAUUUGGACUAUACUUUGUCAGUGUUGCAGGGUGUUAGCCUAAACCUCCGGGUUGCUGAUGCUCUUGAUGGAAAGGAAUUGUUGUGCUAUGUUAUACGUGCUCCUGAUUUUAUUAGAGUAACUGGAAUCAGGUUUACGAUUGUUACGGCUUACUGGGUUGGAGAAGCUGCAUCUGUGGCCGUGUCAAAUGUGCCUUUCCUGAUGUGACAUGCCUCUUUCCGGCAUCAUCUCUACCUUAGAAGUUGCCGAAUUAGUAUUUUCUCUGAAAUAUAUUUUCCCCAUGCUUUCCUUCAAAUACGUUUUUAUUCUCAGGUUUUUUCUUCAUUAUUUUUUUUUACUUUCUGUGGUGAUGAUUCAUGAUUUCAAGCAUGAAUUCGUCAUGAUUUACUUGUAAUUUAUGCACAUACAAUUCAAUAAGGAUUUCAAAGGUUAUGUGGCUAUGAAUGACCAUUUAGCUGUAGUUUGCCUAUUUUGAUUGUGGAACGGAUUGUCCGUGUAAUUUAUUUACCUUACUUUUACUCAACAGAAAGAACUUGCUCAACUUGUGAAUGUGAAAGACAUAUGAGCACACAAUCUGGCGGAAUGGAACAGAUUCGUUUUUCAGUAUUAUUCGUCUUCAUUCCAAUGGGAGCUCGCUGCUCUAAAUUAGGCUUUUGCUGGUGGCCUUCUAACCUCAAAUCCAACAUCGCUUGUUCCUUUGAUUUUGGGUUUUAGAGCAAUGUGGAGAAAAUGAGACUAUGAAACUGCCAUCAUUUAAAGAAUGCAGUUUACAUGAGCUGAAGGUGGCGACUACAGGAUUCUCAGUUGAAUACAUUGUAUCAGAACAAGGAGAUAAAGCUCCCGAUGUUUGUCUACAAAGGGCAGCUUGAAGAUGACGGCUCUUAGAUUGCUGUCAAACAUUUCAAUAAGUUUGCUUGGCUGGAUUCUCGGCAAUUCCUGGUUGUUAUUACUUCUUUUAAGCAGGCCCCAGCCAUAGUGUUUCACAAAUGUGAUAUUAUCUUAUUUAUGUACGGGCUUUGAUAUCAGCCAUAGUACUUAGUUAACCAUGAGUAUGGUGGAUGUUAUUCAGGUUUAAGAUUUGUUGUAUGCAAUUUGUAAGUUAAUAAGUGAGGAAACUUAUUGUAGGUUGAUAUGAAUUGAAACAUUGAUUAUGCGGUUGUUAUACCUUUGUUUAAGGUCA